rnacentral:rRNA from 1 species
AGCUGAUCACUGGGCAUAAAGCGUGCGCAGGCGGUUUUGUAAGACAGAGGUGAAAUCCCCGGGCUCAACCUGGGAACUGCCUUUGUGACUGCAAAGCUGGAGUGCGGCAGAGGGGGAUGGAAUUCCGCGUGUAGCAGUGAAAUGCGUAGAUAUGCGGAGGAACACCGAUGGCGAAGGCAAUCCCCUGGGCCCGCACUGACGCUCAUGCACGAAAGCGUGGGGAGCAAACA